rnacentral:lncRNA from 1 species
AUUGAGUUGGGUCACUUCGAGUUGCUGUCGUCUUUAGUUUCAGGAGUUGGAGGUUUAUUUUUGUACCAGAUUUAAAGCCCUCCAUUUGGAGCAGGUUCUUAUUUGUCGCUUUAUUUAUUUAUUUUUCGCAUCGCUUUUAUUUUAUUUAUUUUACGCACUCGCUUUAUUUAUUUAUUUUCCGCAUCGCUUUUAUUUUAUUUACUUUCUGUCUACGCUUUUAUUUUAUUUAUUUUCCG